GUGAGGAAUAUUGGUCAAUGGGCGGGAGCCUGAACCAGCCAAGUCGCGUGAAGGAAGAAGGAUCUAUGGUUCGUAAACUUCUUUUGCAGGGGAAUAAAGUGCAGGACGUGUCCUGUUUUGUAUGUACCCUGAGAAUAAGGAUCGGCUAACUCCGUGCCAGCAGCCGCGGUAAUACGGAGGAUCCGAGCGUUAUCCGGAUUUAUUGGGUUUAAAGGGUGCGUAGGUGGUUUGAUAAGUCAGCGGUGAAAGUUUGCAGCUUAACUGUAAAAAUGCCGUUGAAACUGUCGGUCUUGAGUGUAAAUGAGGUAGGCGGAAUGCGUGGUGUAGCGGUGAAAUGCAUAGAUAUCACGCAGAACUCCGAUUGCGAAGGCAGCUUACUAAGCUACAACUGACACUGAAGCACGAAAGCGUGGGUAGCGAACAGGAUUAGAAACCCGUGUAGUCC
rnacentral:rRNA from 1 species